rnacentral:tRNA from 2 species
GGGCGCUUAGCUCAGCUUGGAAGAGCACUUGGUUUGCAACCAAGGGGCCGGGGGUUCAAAUCCCCCAGCGUCCACCA